rnacentral:rRNA from 1 species
GACGAACCGUGCGAACGUUGUUCGGAAUCACUGGGCUUAAAGGGCGCGUAGGCGGGUGUGCAAGUCUGUGGUGAAAGCCUCCAGCUUAACUGGAGAAGUGCCGUGGAUACUGCGCAUCUUGAGGAGGGUAGGGGCAUCUGGAACGGUCGGUGGAGCGGUGAAAUGCGUUGAUAUCGACCGGAACUCCGGUGGCGAAGGCGAGGUGCUGGACCCUUUCUGACGCUGAGGCGCGAAAGCCAGGGGAGCAAACGGG